UGGUGUGGUGUCGCAGUAGAGUUUGAUGACAAAUUGUGGGUUGCUCUGCAGCAGCCCCUCCUAAUCCCAUUUGCCCAUGACUCAUCCAUUCCAGUCUUCACGUCUAUAAAUCAACAGGGAGAGCCACGCUCUGAAUCCUUCAUUCUGCAUUGGUCUCUGCUGUUGGAAUCAUCUUAGCCCAAGACAGGAAAAGAAUUUUGCUUUGAUAUUUUCCAAAUUUCAAACAAAGUGUCUCCUGGAUUUUGUACCAAACAGAACCUCCCAGCUCUGAAGGGCGAAGGGCAAUCAGGCCAAAGAGAAGGAAGAAGACAAUGCUCUCAAGUCCGGGCCUGCAACAUCUGGGGCGUAUAAAACAAAGGUGACAUUGUGGAGUACGAGAGCACAUGCUGCUGCUUCUGCUUCAGACUGUCUCCUUCAGAAUGGCUCCAGGAGGUGUGACCCCAGUGCUCAUCUCAAAAUAAUGCAGAUGGGAGCUGCAGCAGCGAAAUGAGAGAGGAAAAAGGGAGAAAAUUAUUUCCAGUUCUUUUCAAAGAGCGCAUCAGACAUGCCUGUCUCCUUCACCUCAAUUUAACAAUGCCCCACUUCUGAGAUCUCCCACACCUUUGUCUCAUGGCUUCUUCAGAAGACUGCUCAAUGGUGCCAUUGGAAAGAGGCCGAUCAUCCAAUGAGCUUGAGCGCAAACAAGGAGGCACUUACUCUUUUGAGUCUGUCAGGGUUUUUCAGGCCCUUCCACCCAGACUUCUCACCAGGUAAUAUCAUAAAUAAUCUGUUCUGAUAGGCUUUAACCAUAAACCCAACACAGCCUAGAAAUAAUUUCAGCUGAGAAAUUGCCUAGAUCAGAUUGGUCUGUGGCCAAGUCUAUGGGGGAGUGUCUUGAUUAUAAAUUUAUAUGGGGCAAUCUGGCCAGGCCCACAGUGGGAGGAACCAUUCCUUCGGCAGUUAGUCCUGGACUAUUUGAGAAAGUUAUUUGAACAUAAGCCUGCCUGCCAGUAAGAAAGAAAUAUCUUCCAUGGGUCCUUCUGUACUUCUUUGGCUGUGAAGUUAGUUUCUUGAUCAGAGGCAUGCUGUGUGGAAUAGCAAGCAUGCCUGCUUUCAACUUCUUGCCUUGAGUUUCUGCCUUGCCUUCCCUCAACGAUGAACCUGGAAUUAUGAACUGCAAUAAACUGAAUUGCUUUUGGUCAAGGUAUUUGUUACAGUAUCAGAAAGGAAACUAGAAUAGCAUCCAAGCUCUGAAGCACUGCCCAAGGAUCUGUGGCCAUUCCCUUUAGUAGAGCUCAAGUUUAACUAAUCACCACUUUGAGACUUUCUCUAUUGGCCCCACCCUCUAUGCUGGGCAACAGCCUGUCCACUGAGUAUCUCUGAUACUUCGCUGGGCACAGUUGUGUCCACAGGCACCACAGCUAAUAAGGAGCCCAGGAGGUGCCAAAGCUGUGGGACAAUGUUCUGCAUAGUAGCUGAGAAUACUCCUCCAUGUGUAAGCUCACCUGCCAGAAUCCCAAAGUCAUAUUCUUUCUGUCCAGUAAGUUGUAAGGGCUUUAGAGGAACAUCACUUUCCAUUUUGAUGGAGUCUCCUUAAUUUCUAAUGGAAUUCAGAUCUACAACCAUCGGUUGUAAACAAGGGCUAGGUUUGGGCCCGGGCAUUCAAGCACCAGUUGGGCACUGAUCUGAGCCCCAAAUCAUUCAUCCUUUCUGACAAUGGAGACUUUGUUAGUGGGGCAGGCUUGUGGUGCCUGGCUGUCCCAGCUCUGGGAUGAGUAUUCUCCUGUAGCGUCUUCAGAAUCUGCAGUUCCCAGAAGGUGCCAGAUCCAUGCAGAUCUUACAGAGGUCACAAUUUGGACUCCUGCUGGGACUUUCAUUUUUGGGUUGUUUCUUCCACACCAGAAUACUUAAA